UGCAGUCGAGCGGCAGCACGGGUACUUGUACCUGGUGGCGAGCGGCGGACGGGUGAGUAAUGCCUAGGAAUCUGCCUAGUAGUGGGGGAUAACGUCCGGAAACGGGCGCUAAUACCGCAUACGUCCUACGGGAGAAAGUGGGGGAUCUUCGGACCUCACGCUAUUAGAUGAGCCUAGGUCGGAUUAGCUAGUUGGUGAGGUAAUGGCUCACCAAGGCGACGAUCCGUAACUGGUCUGAGAGGAUGAUCAGUCACACUGGAACUGAGACACGGUCCAGACUCCUACGGGAGGCAGCAGUGGGGAAUAUUGGACAAUGGGCGAAAGCCUGAUCCAGCCAUGCCGCGUGUGUGAAGAAGGUCUUCGGAUUGUAAAGCACUUUAAGUUGGGAGGAAGGGCAGUUACCUAAUACGUGAUUGUUUUGACGUUACCGACAGAAUAAGCACCGGCUAACUCUGUGCCAGCAGCCGCGGUAAUACAGAGGGUGCAAGCGUUAAUCGGAAUUACUGGGCGUAAAGCGCGCGUAGGUGGUUUGUUAAGUUGGAUGUGAAAGCCCCGGGCUCAACCUGGGAACUGCAUCCAAAACUGGCAAGCUAGAGUAUGGUAGAAGGGUUGGUGGGAAUUUCCUGUGUAGCGGUGAAAUGCGUAGAUAUAGGAAGGAAC
rnacentral:rRNA from 1 species